GUUAAAGCCUGAAGGCUGAACUGGGGCCGUGAAAAGGAACUUAGAAGAUUCAGACAAGAAAACACACUAAAAAUAUUUGGAGAUGGAUUUCUACCUCGUUGUGAUCCCUCUGAGGUUUCCAGCUAUUGAGCAGACACAUUUGUUUUUGUAUUGAGGGUUUUUAACAUGACAAACUGUUACAGAAUACACAGAUGUACUUUAUAGCAACCAGGCGCUUCCUGCAAAACCUUUGCAACUCGUUAUGUAAAAGAAUCCUGUGGUCUGCUUUGCUGCCUCUGCUGUGCUGUGUGCAGGAGGUGCUGCCUUCCCUAUGGAAUGGAAUGGAAUGGAAUGGAAUGGAAUGGAAUGGAAUGGAAUGGAAUGGAAUGGAAUGGAAUGGAACUUCUAUCCCAGCUGAGCCAGGCUGUGCCAUAGGGGUGAGAGGAAAACAACAGGAUUUAAACCACUGUUAAUCUAUCUGUUAUCUCUGCCGUAGCCUGCCUGAAAUCUCCUGUGUCACAGCUUCAUUAACACUGUACCUUGUGCUCAGGCACAAGUAGACCAGAAGAGCCGUGUUUCCAGUGUCAAACCUCCCACUCAGCACAGGAGCUCCAGAGGGUGAAGAAGAGCCUGAGGGCUGUGAGGCUCUGCCAUGGCCAGGACACAGCUGCUGUGAUGGCUGUGAAGCCACCUCUGCCAGGGUGCUGUACACACCGACCUGAGCACAGUGCUGGGCUGAGGCUGAUGCUCCGCAUCUCCAUCGAGGCAGAGCUCGCACUGCGGGCACUGAGGCGCAGGCUCUGCUCGGCUCCAACGGUGCCGUCAUGCUGCGUUUGCUGGAACGGUCCAGGGCUCAUUUUGGCCAUGGAAGCUGCGGGCAGUCCUCUUCCCCUUGCAAACAUCAGGAGAUCCGCAGUCCACGAGCAAAGCCAGUGAGGUUCUGGACCUGUCGAGAUGACGACGGCGCUCAGCGUCACUGAGGGGGUUUCCCAAGAUGAGCAGAAUCUCAUAAGUGGAGGAUCACACUCAAGGGCCUCUCAGGUCAUCACAGACAUGUAAAUAUUUUGGCAGAGCAACAUGGGAACAUCUUCAGCGUCUCUGAAAGAGCAGUGCAGCGCUGGCACAGCUGCCCAGGGAGGCGGUGCAGUCACCAUCCCUGGAGGUGUUCAAGAACCGUGGUGAUGUGGCACUGAGGGACGUGGUCAGUGGGCACGGUGGGACGGGUUGGUGGUUGGACCUCAUGAUCUUUUCCAACCUUAAUGAUUGUGUGAUUCUAUGGGAACAGCUGAAGCCCAGGAACAGCAAAGGCUCGGGAUAACACCAACCACGGGUCCCACCUGCUGAGAAAAAGCAUCGCCCACAUCCCAGUUCGGGUGCAGCCUCGUGCUGCUGCUGCUAUUAUUACCCUCACAAUGGCAUUGUGGCCUGAGAGCAAACAUGGAUUUCUUUUGGAGGAAGGGGUUAAUUCUGUGUUUCCUGGCUUUUGUUAAGACAGGAAAUCAAACCCUUAAGAAAGUCACUCAGGUCAGGCUGAGCUCCUAAAAGCCUCUUUGGUCCUGGUUUGUAUUUUCC
ensembl:lncRNA